UCUAAGGCCGGUGACUUUGGGCGAAAUGUGCGGGUACACUGAGGACCAAUCACCCAUCACUUAUACAAACGUCUCCGGACAAAACGGGCAAUGAGCAUUCCCAAACAUGAAUGCUUUGGGAAUGUACGAGGCUACCAGAGCACUCGCGGAAAAAACACUUGAAUUUGCAAAUCCCUCACAAAAUCAGAACCCGGAAUAUUUCUAUCUGUGAUGCAGAAGUGCUAUGCACCAUGUGACGCCGCGCACUUGAGAACUGUUUUUUUUUUUUUCUUUCUUUUAACAGAACAAUUCUCAUCUGCGGCCAAGUGUCCUGGAAUGACACUCAUAAGUGUCUCGAUUCCCCGCCGAAAUGUUUUAUCGCCCUGUGGAAAUCAGUUGAAAGGAAAUCCAUCGUCGAGCCACAGGAUUGAUGUUUUGGCAGAGGAUCCCAGCCUUUUCCCUGACUAACCCGUCGUCAGCAUCCAAAAGGCCGGCUAUGUUUCUGCCCCGCGGGCGCUGACUUCUCCGCUUCCUCAGCAGAAAAAAAAAAAAAGGUGACGAGAGGAAUGGAGGAAUGUGUCUUUUCAUCAACACCGCGGCAACGUGAUUCCCUGAACGCGAAGCGGCGAGGCCAACGUGGCUUCCGGGCUUCACCUGCUUUGCCGAAAAAAAGAAGAUCCCGGGAGGUGACAGAUGUUGACUCAAUGCUAUCUGGCCAUGUCUGCGAGAUCUCACUUUUCGGGAGGAAAACCAUCGGUGCGAGCCCGGGCAUGCCUUUGUAUGGCGGACGGAGAGAAUAGGUGCGGUUGUGGACAUACCAGACAUACCAAACCAGGCAAUAAAGCCCAACGUAAAGCGGUGGCGAUUUGGGUGAAAGACGGCAUGCGUUGACCCCUGCGGCUGAGUAGGCAAGAAAAAUGGGACAGCAAAAGGUUUUCACCCCGGUUAGAGAGGUGCUGAGGGCCAAAAAGUUUGAAAAAGAUUAAGCGGACUUUGCCCCAUUUUGCAGUCAAGCCAACACAAAGUAGGUUAAGCUCCAAUUUCGACUCAAAAAUAGACAACUUUGCCUCUUAAAGUGGACGGUAUUACUCUUGCGGGGUGCACAACUGAUCCAAUAAGAGGAAAGUUACCAUGUGUAUAGAAUAUUUCGGGUCAAAUGGUCCCGAUUUUCACGCCGGCGCACAGCCGCGGGUAUGAUAUCUCCGCGUUUGUUUGGGUUUUGGAAAGCUUUCCAACGGGGCGCGCUCAGCCGCUGGCCAAACGAGGGCACGAUGGAUCCGACGCGGAUAGCGCAAACGCACGCUUCACGGAAUUGUAACAAAAUGCGCCUUUCAAACAUUCCCAACUCAGUGCUGACUCGCCUGUUAGAUGUGGACACAGUGAGCCACUUCUUCACGCGGUAUCACGAUGAAGCCAAAAAUAUGCCAGCUGUGCAGUACCGUCUUCACCAGGUGUUAGGCGUGAGUCCGUAGCGACUGCUUUAGCACAUUAUGCUUUCAACCACACAUUCAAUUAAAGACAUGACUCACUGCUGACUUUGCUGCAGUUUAAGACGCUAAUAUGUUCAUACUGGUCAUUGCUUGUUGAGACCUUCUUUAUCUGUGAGCCGAGUCAUCUGCGCCACAAUAUUAUUUUGUAAAAUUGUGGACGCCUCACCUUCGUUAGCAUUUUGAGCUAACAUCAGUAUAACAUUAGCACAUGCUUUAUGGAGAGUGGAAGUACUUUACUUGCCUUGAGGUAGUCAACUGACGAUGUCUACUCAACGUGCAGAAGUAAAAAAAAAAAAAGUAGAAACAA